GGAACGUGCCCAGUAUCGGGGGAUAACUACUCUAAAGAGUGGCUAAUACCGCAUACGCCCUACGGGGGAAAGGGGGGGAUCGCAAGACCUCUCACUAUUGGAGCGGCCGAUAUCGGAUUAUCUAGUUGGUGGGGUAAAGGCUCACCAAGGCAACGAUCCGUACCUGGUUUGAGAGGACGACCAGACACACUGGGACUGACACACGGCCCAGACUCCUACGGGAGGCAGCACUGGGGAAUUUUGGACAAUGGGGGAAACCCUGAUCCAGCCAUCCCGCGUGUAUGAUGAACGCCUUCGGGUUGUAAAGUACUUUUGGAACAUAAAAAAAGGUAUCCCCUAAUACGGGAUACUGCUGACGGUAUCUGCACAAUAGACACCGGCUAACUACAUGCCAGCAGCCGCGGUAAUACCUAGGGUGCAAGCGUUAAUCGGAAUUACUGGGCGUAAAGCGUGUGUAGGCGGUUCGGAAAGAAAGAUGUGAAAUCCCAGGGCUCAACCUUGGAACUGCAUUUUUAACUGCCGAGCUAUUGUAUGUCGGAGGAGGGUAGAAUUCCACAUGUAGCAGUGAAUUGCUUAGAUAUGUGGAGGAAUACCGAUGGCGAAGGCAGCCCCCUGGGAUAAUACUGACGCUCAGACACGAAAGCGUGCGGAGCAAACAGGAUUAGAUACCCUGGUAGUCCACGCCCUA
rnacentral:rRNA from 1 species